AUUGAACGCUGGCGGCAGGCCUAACACAUGCAAGUCGAGCGGAUGAAGGGAGCUUGCUCCUGGAUUCAGCGGCGGACGGGUGAGUAAUGCCUAGGAAUCUGCCUGGUAGUGGGGGAUAACGUCCGGAAACGGGCGCUAAUACCGCAUACGUCCUGAGGGUGAAAGUGGGGGAUCUUCGGACCUCACGCUAUCAGAUGAGCCUAGGUCGGAUUAGCUAGUUGGUGGGGUAAGGGCCUACCAAGGCGACGAUCCGUAACUGGUCUGAGAGGAUGAUCAGUCACACUGGAACUGAGACACGGUCCAGACUCCUACGGGAGGCAGCAGUGGGGAAUAUUGGACAAUGGGCGAAAGCCUGAUCCAGCCAUGCCGCGUGUGUGAAGAAGGUCUUCGGAUUGUAAAGCACUUUAAGUUGGGAGGAAGGGCAGUAAGUUAAUACCUUGCUGUUUUGACGUUACCAACAGAAUAAGCACCGGCUAACUUCGUG
rnacentral:rRNA from 1 species